CCCUCCUACAAAGGCGUGUCUGUGGGUCUGUCUCUGGACACGUAAGAAUUGGAGGCAAAGAAAUAAGGACUUGGAUAAGUCUGGAGCCAGCUUGCUCCCUGCAGGCUCAAGAUCAACCAUCCCACAUAG